GGAAUGACCGUGUCGGCACGUGAGCGGUGAUGGAUUCGCAUGCCACGGCGGGCUCCCUGCCACUGUGCAGCCAACCGGCGUCGCUGCAGCCCCCUCACUCGUGCUCCAACCACACGGAGCCUCCCGCGUUGCCUGUACAACAUACUCGGUUCUCGGGCAAAUGACUUCGUCCGACACGCUCGUCCGCUCCCCUCGCCUUUGUGCGGGCGCGGAGCGGCAACGUCGGCGGUCCUCGUGCUCCCUCGGACGACGGCACGGCUUUGGCCCCUCGUCUCGUCCCGAUCGGCCCUCGAGGAUUCGCCAGCGCUCGCGGACACGGUAGACAAUGUUGGCUCGGGGCCUUCGUAGCCCCCGCACCACGAUCGGUCGGCUCACUUCGCCG
rnacentral:misc_RNA from 1 species